UGAAGUAUAGCAUAUAAUAAUGCUUUUUACUUACACUAAAAAUAAAACACAUUGUUUACUUCACU
rnacentral:tRNA from 1 species